rnacentral:rRNA from 1 species
UACGAAGGGGGCUAGCGUUGCUCGGAAUCACUGGGCGUAAAGCGCACGUAGGCGGAUUCUUAAGUCAGGGGUGAAAUCCUGGAGCUCAACUCCAGAACUGCCUUUGAUACUGAGGGUCUUGAGUUCGGGAGAGGUGAGUGGAACUGCGAGUGUAGAGGUGAAAUUCGUAGAUAUCGAGAGGAACACCUGCGGCGAAGGCGGGUUGCUGGGCUGAUACUGACGCUGAGGCGCGAAAGCCAGGGGAGCGAACGGG